rnacentral:rRNA from 1 species
GACGAACGCUGGCGGCGUGCUUAACACAUGCAAGUCGAACGGAAGGGCCCUGCUUUUGUGGGGUGCUCGAGUGGCGAACGGGUGAGUAACACGUGAGUAACCUGCCCUUGACUUUGGGAUAACUUCAGGAAACUGGGGCUAAUACCGGAUAGGAGCUCCUGCUGCAUGGUGGGGGUUGGAAAGUUUCGGCGGUUGGGGAUGGACUCGCGGCUUAUCAGCUUGUUGGUGGGGUAGUGGCUUACCAAGGCUUUGACGGGUAGCCGGCCUGAGAGGGUGACCGGCCACAUUGGGACUGAGAUACGGCCCAGACUCCUACGGGAGGCAGCAGUCGGGAAUAUUGCACAAUGGGCGGAAGCCUGAUGCAGCAACGCCGCGUGCGGGAUGAAGGCCUUCGGGUUGUAAACCGCUUUCGCCUGUGACGAAGCGUGAGUGACGGUAAUGGGUAAAGAAGCACCGGCUAACUACGUG